AACCAUCUGAACCUAACUUUUUUUCUUUUACGGCAGAGUUAUAAAUUUAAUGGAAUUGCUUCCCCUGAAUUUGACAGCCUGAAAAUCCCUGGAGCCUGCGAGAUCCUAGAGAAUGAAGGGCUUCGGUCCUCCUACUGAAGCAAGGACAGCAAAUGAAGGGAUGAAACAGAGAUGGCUUAAGGAAGAGAACAGAGUGCUUGCAGAAAGCGGGAUGCUGGCGGAGCGGCAUCCUGUAGAGCGAAAACAGUGCAAAAGCAGAUCGCUGCUCGGGACUGGGACACCUUAAAACUUUUCUAGCUUUCCGUCAGCAUCUUUUGCUAGUAUUUAAAGGCAGGUCAUUCUUGCCUCUGGCUUAAUCAAUCUUGAAGCCAGACGCUUGCUUUCGGGACUAGCUUUAAGAGAGCUGCCUUUGGGACCUGCAACCGCGGUUGGAUUUUUUGCAGUGCUGGGCUGAGAAGUGAAAGAGAAAAUUACUUCUGGGAAUAGACUGAAGACCGCUGCCCCAGAGCAGCAGAACCGUACUUAAAUCCAAUUCUCGCGAGUCAAGACAUCACCCGGUGAUUGUCACGCUCCUCGUUGAAUGGGAAGGAAGAUACGCAGCAACAGGGAAUGUUAAGAAUAUUGAGCUCCACUAGUGAGCAGAGACUCCCAUACCAAUGUGUCACAUUUGAACUAGCUGGUGUUCCAUCCACUCACUGCGCCACCAAGCUUUCAGUUCUCCAUAAAGGGGCGUGACUCAUGUUGUCUGGAGAAAAUCGCUCCUGGUUUUCUUCUGCAACGGAUUCUGAGCUCUUUAGCUUGGAAGUCCUUUCAGUCGCCAAAAUCUUGGAGAGUAAGGGACUUCCCUCUUCUGGCUGAUGGAGCUGCAAGUACAUGAGAAAUUCUUCUCUCAUCAUUUCAAAUACAGUCUGAUUUGGAGCAUGACUCUUGUGAUGCAGUGCUGGACACAAGGAAAUGUGGUGACUGAGGAUGAGACAGUGAUGCUAGAGAGACCUGCUUCCUUAAAAUGUUCCCUGCAGACUCUUCAAGAGAUCAUGAUAGUCACAUGGCAGAAACUCAUUUAUGGAAGACCAGAAAACAUGGCAACUUUCAGCCAACAACAUGGAAUAGUAAUCCAACCAGCUUACAAGGAUAAAAUAGAAAUAACCCAGCCGGGACUCAGUGAAUCAGCCAUCACUUUCCUGAAAACUUCAGUUGAGGAUGAGGGAUGCUAUUUAUGCAUCUUUAACAUCUUUGGUGUUGGAACAGUCUCAGGAAAAACCUGCCUCAGCCUUUAUGUACAGCCUAAAGUAUUCCUUAACUACCAAUUCUCUGAAAACCACCUAAAUGUCACCUGCACUGCCACUGCACGUCCACCUCCAGUGAUCUCCUGGAAGGUGGAGCUAGAGGUGCAGAAUAGCACCGAGCGCACCAAAUAUCUAAAUGGCACCACUUCAGAAACUAGCAUCCUUUACUUCAAAGACCCUGAGAACCAAGUGGGGAAAAAGAUACUCUGUAUAGUGAAGCACAUGGAGAACAAGACGGAAUAUGUUGUGAUCCCAAACAAAAAUGGCACAGGCCAUAAUUUUUCAGUGCCCAUAUUUGUGGGUAUUCUUGUUCCUGUAGUGAUCCUGCUGACCUUGAUUGUUAUCUUACUGUACUGGAAAUAUCGACGCCAGAGUAGAGGAAUAUAACUUUUCCUCUGAAGACUGCUUUAAAUGUAUCCCUAAAAUUUGGAUGAAGAAAUUGAGGGAUAGAAUUGCUAAAUAACACUAUGUCAUAGAACAUCAUAAUGGACCUCUCAAGUCAUUCCCUGACCUAUGGGACUCCGAAGUAAAAGAAGAACCUGGGGUCACCAAGAGCUUAAAAGGAAGAAAGAAAUGGGAUAAGACUCUGGAGAAUUCUGUUACUGUUAAUAAUUAAUUAAUUAUGUGAACUUGUUCUGCUUUUUACAAGAAUGUCAAUCUCUACCCAGAGAGAGAAUUAUGGAAAAUGAGUAUGGACCACAACAGCAAGAGUGGAAAUGCUUGCAUUUUUGUUUUCCUUCUCAGGU